AAAUAUACAUAUUAAGGGAAUACUCCAUGGUCACAAAGAUGGUUUUCUUAGGACCAGGGGUAUCUAUUACACUCCAGAUGUGCUGACCCCUGAGACUCUCCCAACUGGGGGAAACUCGACUGCAUAAUUCAUGGAAAUGGGGGACUGUGUUCGUUCACAUUCUCCCC